ACUUUGUAACACCCCUGAUGUCAAGCUACAGUAAACCCAUGCUAAUGGUGCCGUGUCAUCAUUAUUAGCUAAGCCAAAUUUCCUCUUGGUAAAAAUCAAAGACAUUUUCAAACUUAAAAUAAAGUCAAAAUAAUUAUUUCUUCAAGGUAAAAAAAAUGUUUGAAUAAAUCUAUAAGUUCCCCUGAUUGUCUUCAUGCCAAAACCAAUUUCAUUUGACUCACAUAUAAAUUCCUAGGAAUUUAAUAAGUGGUCUAACACAAAAAUAAAAUGGAACCUUGUGUGUAGCACCCAAAAUGUUGUAUUUGAAUUAUAGGUGCAGUACCUUGUAGAUCUAAUAUCAUUUAGUGCCAAACAUAAAUAGAAAACUGAGACAAAAGGUUAGACAGAAAAAGAAAAUGAGAAAGUGCUGACGUGCACUUUGGCCCGUAUGAACAAUGUAGCCCAAGCCCACCACCAGCCUCUCCCCUACCUCUUUACUGUACAGAGGGGAGGCAGCAUGGCCUUGGCGGCCAUCCGGCCAUCCGCCGGUCAUGGCCACUUGUGUGGCGGCCAUCUGACCCCUCCCGACAUCCUACUUGACCCCGAGCACUUCCCUUGGACAAACCCUAGGCCGCACUUGUUCUCCUCUCGCUCGAUCCUGUCCUUUGUUCGACGACAAGCGCUUCCAUCACCGUCACCGCGUCGAUCCCACGGCCACUAGCCAGCCCGCACCAUCCCGACAUGUCCGCAAGCUCCGGCUCGCUCCUCUGCUUCGACUACACUGAAUGCUUGAGCUGGGCGCCUCUACAUCGCCGGGAUCGAGCGCUCCUUCCUCUUCAGUCGCCGGCGGGCCACCGCCCAACUACUCUGCUCCGACCACUCCGGCCUUCCCCAAGCACGGCCGCGCUCCGCGGGUACAAGGGGAAGAAGGCAGGGUCUAGGUGUUACUCCGGCGCGGCGGCAGAGCGAAGCAAACCCUCCUCUCCUCAAGCAAGCAUCACUUGUAGAUGGUCAAGAAGAUGAACAAAAGAAAAAGGAUGGUUAGGGGAGCCGCAGUUUUUGUCACACUUGCUGCAAUAGCAGUCAUUGUUCGAGCUUCAAUAAGGAAGAGAAGAUCACUUAUUACAUAUGGCCCAAUGCAUGAAAGAGAUCGGGCCAGAUUUGAUUAUCUAGACCAAAAAAUUUGGCAAAGCGAUGUGUUGUGUAAAAACAUGUUAAGGUUUGAAAGAGCUGCAUUCUUUCUCUUGUGUGGCAUACUGAGGGAUCGCGAGUUGCUAGAAGACAGUCCACAUCUUAGCAUGGAGCAACAAUUAGCGAUGUUUUUACAUACAAUUGGGCAUAAUGUUUGGAAUAGGGUUAUAUCAGCCAUUUUUUGUAGAUCAUAUGGCACAACUAGCAUCUAUUUUAGAAAGGCUCUUCAUGCCAUAGGCGAGCUUCGUAAUGAUUACAUAAGGCCACCAUCACUGGAGACCCCUGCCAAAAUUGCUGGAAAUCAUCGAUUUGACCCAUAUUUUAAGGAUUGUAUUGGAGCUAUCGAUGGUACACAUGUGCGAGCAGGUGUUACCAAAGAUGUGGAGCAUUCCUUUCGGGGUAGGAAGGCAUUCACCACUCAAAAUGUGAUGGCAGCGGUAGAUUUUGACCUACGCUUCACAUAUGUGUUGCCUGAUUUGGAAGGGUCAGCACAUGAUGCUACUAUUUUAGCUGAUGCAUUAACGCGUGAGAGAGGCUUACAAGUGCCACCGGGAAAGUUCUACCUAGUUGAUGCUGGUUAUGGAGCAAAGCCUGGGUUCUUACCACCUUUUCAUGGUGUGAGGUACCAUUUGAAUGAGUGGGGCAACAAUCCAGUCCAAAAUGAUAGGGAGUUGUUCAACCUUAGGCACUCAUCUCUACGGGUCACAGUAGUGAGGGCUUUUGGAUCUCUCAAGAGGCGUUUCCAAAUUUUAGAGGAUGCCAAACCCUUCUUCACUUUCCCGGUGCAGAAAUGGACAAUACUGAAGUCACCGCUGCAAGUGGGAACUCCGCAAAGAGUGGGGUCAUUGUAUGGACCCCUGCCAUGACCAACAUGAUGCUAGGAUUUUUGGCUGACCUUGUUGCUAAAGGAAAGAGGACUUCUAGUGGGUUCAGGGAGGCACAUCAUAGACAAUGUGCUGCUGUUCUGAAUGAGCAGUUCAAACUUGCUGUCACUGGAGAACAAGUUCGAAACCAUCUCAAGAAGUGGAGGAAGAUUUGGGGAAGGGUAGUCAUCUUGAAGAAUUUAAGUGGAGCUCUAUGGGAUGAAAAUACUUGCACAAUUAGGCUUGCCGAAGAACACUGUGCGGGUCAUUGCAUGGCACGCAAAGCUGAUGCCCCUUUCUUGAAUACCCCAAUUGAACACUAUCAUGCUAUGGCGACCAUCUUUGGGACAACCGCGGCUUCAGGGAUGAAUGCUAGGUCUGGGAAUGAUCUACUCUCUAUUGAUGUGGAAGAUGAGGAGAAUGGUGAGGUGAACACAUCACCAAAUGUUGCUGAAUCCUCUCACCCCAAAGGACCACCAAAAAAGAAGGCCAAGGUAGUGAAAGUUCUUCAAGAUCCACUAGUUACCACUCUCAAUUAUGGGUUCAAACUUGUGGCUGAUGCUCUUGUGAAUUAUGGGGAUGAUGAUGAUGAAGGAAAUAUGCCCUAGAGGCAAUAAUAAAGUUAUUAUUUAUUUCCUUAUA